rnacentral:rRNA from 1 species
UAACACAUGCAAGUCGAGCGGGCACCUUCGGGUGUCAGCGGCAGACGGGUGAGUAACACGUGGGAACGUACCCUUCGGUUCGGAAUAACGCUGGGAAACUAGCGCUAAUACCGGAUACGCCCUUAUGGGGAAAGGUUUACUGCCGAAGGAUCGGCCCGCGUCUGAUUAGCUAGUUGGUGGGGUAAUGGCCUACCAAGGCGACGAUCAGUAGCUGGUCUGAGAGGAUGAUCAGCCACACUGGGACUGAGACACGGCCCAGACUCCUACGGGAGGCAGCAGUGGGGAAUAUUGGACAAUGGGCGCAAGCCUGAUCCAGCCAUGCCGCGUGAGUGAUGAAGGCCUUAGGGUUGUAANNCUCUUUUNUCCGGGACGAUAAUGACGGUACCGGAAGAAUAAGCC